rnacentral:rRNA from 1 species
GACGAACGCUGGCGGCGCGCCUAACACAUGCAAGUCGAACGAGAGAUGAGGAGCUUGCUCUUCAAAUCGAGUGGCGAACGGGUGAGUAACGCGUGAGGAACCUGCCUCAAAGAGGGGGACAACAGUUGGAAACGACUGCUAAUACCGCAUAAGCCCACAGCUCGGCAUCGAGCAGAGGGAAAAGGAGCAAUCCGCUUUGAGAUGGCCUCGCGUCCGAUUAGCUAGUUGGUGGGGUAAUGGCCCACCAAGGCGACGAUCGGUAGCCGGACUGAGAGGUUGAACGGCCACAUUGGGACUGAGACACGGCCCAGACUCCUACGGGAGGCAGCAGUGGGGAAUAUUGCACAAUGGGGGAAACCCUGAUGCAGCGACGCCGCGUGGAGGAAGAAGGUCUUCGGAUUGUAAAACUCCUGUUGUUGAGGAAGAUAAAUGACGGUACUCAACAAGGAAGUGACGGCUAACACGUG